rfam:Clostridia bacterium BRH_c25 BRHa_1003816, whole genome shotgun sequence.
CGAAUUCUAUAUGGUAAAGCCCAACCAGCAACCAUUACUCAGCCUUGGAGCCGAAAGAGUAAUCUUAGGUUUAAGCGUAGGCAGGGGAGAUAACGAGCCGUAAGCGAAAGCUGAAGGGAUUGAGCCUCGUAAGACCAAAUCAAGAAGGCCGAUGCUCUGGACAAUGCAGCAGGCAAUAUUCUCUGGUACGUAAAUGGUGAGUAUCAGAGAACUUCUUCGGGGUCGGAGACCA